CUGAGAUAACGCUGCAAAAAAGACCCAUGCAGAACGAGCGGCUAUGGGCGGCGGAACAACGGCGGCAGCUGCUUGCAAUGGCCGGGUCCGCGCACGGCAGGAGCUGGGGAGGUCCAUUCGGAGGCGGGCGGCAGCCCCGGGGUCGCCAGUGACGUUGUGGAAGGCCGGGGCGUGGCUUCCUGGGUGGAUACAUGGCAUCUGUGGCUCCUGGGCAAAAAGAAGAAUAGAGGUGAGGGAGAGAAGAAGGGAGAAAGGAGGGGAGGUGCGGCGUCCUAGGCGGGAGCUCGCCGGAGCGGGGCGACGGUGGGCGGGCGCGGGAGACGGAGGGAUUUACAGCCGGCCGGUCGAGCGACACCAACCAGGCCACGGGUGGCGUACACUUUCAGCAGAAAAUGGACCACAACGAUGAACCAACUACUAUUCAGGAUUUUGAUAACCGGCCUUAACAAAAAACAUUCUGAAUUGAGUGUUUUGCAUUCAGAUAAACUAAUAGAUGGUGAUGAAUUUCCAUCACCAACUAUUUCAACAUCAUCUUUGGUCUUCAUAACCAGAUAGACACAUGAACCUCUGCCACCACUGUUAAGCAGUACCUCAGGUGAACUAUCAGCACUGCCUGUCGUCCAACAAUAACAAGCUCAGGUGUUGUAUAUGUAACCAGUUAAUAUACGUGCAAAACUUGCACAUACCCAAAAGCUGGCUGCCAGAUGAUUCCUACGAGAGAACGAACGUACGUACGCAGAUUGCUAUGGAUGUGAAGAAAUCACAUGAAGGAAGAAAACUUGCUCGGAUGCAUGGAGACAAAAACGGUGAUGCGGGGGGCAGCAACAGCGGGACGAGGUAGGCGACGAGCGAUAGAGGCCGAGGUUGGUCUAGCAGGGGCGCUGCAAGGCGACCGAGGAGAGAAGAAGAUGGGCGGCGCUCGAGGAAAUAAGAUGAUGGACGAGUCAGAGGAGACGGCCGGGGGAGGUGGCACUCGAGAUGGAUGCGGCAGCAGGAGGGGUUUGGAAUGGGGCACUAGGGUCAGGCGGGGGAGGCCGUCUUCUGCGUGCUGGUGGCCUCUCCUCCUGGCGGGUUUUUACCCCGUUCACGCACACAUCCAAUCAGCGUCACGGCGGAGACGGCAAAAGAAGCGCUCCACGUGACCACCGGCACUAGCCUCCUCAGCCGUCAGGGAUGAAGGCACCAUGCACCGGGUGCAGGCGGUAGCAAGAACGUCGGCAGCUGCAGACACAAGUUUGCCACAUUGUCAUUCAUCGCCGAGACCAUUAUGUUUCUUUUCAUGGGAUAGACGAGGUGAGCAACAAUGCAUGCAUGUUUCCUCUAAAAAAACAAUUAUGUUUCUUUUUUUAGAAGAAAAUGGUCACAAUAAUUUAAUCUGCUAUUUAGUAGGAUAUCUGUAAUCAAAAGAAGACAUAUUCCUACAUUAUUCUCUAGAGUUUUGCUGUUUAGGUAUCUGACUUGAGAAUAAACAACGAGAAUAGCUUAAUUGGAAUAGUUCUCCCUAGGUUUUCUGAUAAUUCAACUCAUCCAGUAGCUUGAUAGUUUUUUCAUUAUGUUAGUAUCUUAUCUGUGUAACUUGAUUAUUAGGAGAUUUAUAUUCACGAUACUAGUGAAUGGGUAAAAG